GACGAACGCUGGCGGCGUGCCUAAUACAUGCAAGUAGAACGCUGAAGGAGGAGCUUGCUUCUCUGGAUGAGUUGCGAACGGGUGAGUAACGCGUAGGUAACCUGCCUGGUAGCGGGGGAUAACUAUUGGAAACGAUAGCUAAUACCGCAUAAUAGUAGAUGUUGCAUGACAUUUGCUUAAAAGGUGCAAUUGUAUCACUACCAGUUGGACCUUCGUUGCAUUAGGUAGUUGGUGGGGUAACGGCUCACUCAGGCGACGAUACAUACCCGACCUGAGAGGGUGAUAGGCCACACUGGGACUGGGACCGGGCCCAGACUCCUACGGGAGGCAGCAGUAGGGGAUCUUCGGCAAUGGACGGAAGUCUGAACGAGGAACGCCGCGUGAGUGAAGAAGGUUUUCGGGUCGUAAAGCUCUGUUGUAAGGGAAGAACGAGUGUGAGAGUGGAAAGUUCACACUGUGACGGUAUCUUACCAGAAAGCGACGGCUAACUACGUG
rnacentral:rRNA from 1 species